AGAACGAACGCUGGCGGCAUGCCUAACACAUGCAAGUCGAACGCUUUUGGGGCUUCGGUCCCAAAGGAGUGGCGCACGGGUGAGUAGCGCGUGGGAACCUGCCCUGGAGUGGGGGAUAACCGAGGGAAACUUCGGCUAAUACCGCAUACGCCGGGAAACCGGGAAAGAUUUAUCGCUCUAGGAGGGGCCCGCGUCGGAUUAGGUAGUUGGUGGGGUAACGGCCUACCAAGCCUGUGAUCCGUAGCUGGUCUGAGAGGAUGAUCAGCCACACUGGGACUGAGACACGGCCCAGACUCCUACGGGAGGCAGCAGUGGGGAAUAUUGGACAAUGGGCGCAAGCCUGAUCCAGCAAUGCCGCGUGAGUGAUGAAGGCCUUCGGGUUGUAAAGCUCUUUCGCACGCGAGGAUGAUGACGCUAGCGUGAGAAGAAGCCCGGCUAACUUCGUGCCAGCAGCCGC
rnacentral:rRNA from 1 species